rnacentral:tRNA from 1 species
GCAUUGGUGGUUCAGUGGUAGAAUUCUCGCCUGCCCCGCGGGGAGGCCGGGUUGAUUCGGCCAAUGCA